UACGUAGGGUGCAAGCGUUAUCCGGAAUUACUGGGCGUAAAGGGCGUGUAGGCGGCCGACUAAGUCGGGGGGUGAAAUCCACUGGCUCAACCAGUGAAGUGCCUCGGGACUGGACGGCUUGAGUAUGGCAGAGGGAAGCGGAAUUCCAGGUGUAGCGGUGAAAUGCGUAGAUAUCUGGAAGAACACCGGUGGCGAAGGCGGCAUCCUGGACCGACAUUGACGCUGAUGAGCGAAAGCGUGGGGGAGCGAACAGG
rnacentral:rRNA from 1 species